GGGCGCGGUGGCCGACGGCGUCCUGCGGCUCGUCGGCUGCACCCCCGCCGAGAUCGCACAGGCUCGCGCGGUCCCGGUCGCGCUCGCGGUCU
rnacentral:tRNA from 1 species